rnacentral:lncRNA from 1 species
UGUGUAACAGAAGAAAUUGGUCUCUCUGCUCUGGCGCUCAUGGCGGAGGCAGCAGGCACGCUUCAGCAUGCAGAACCACGCUGGCGAGUUCGUGGACCUGUACGUGCCGCGGAAAUGCUCCGCCAGCAACCGCAUCAUUGGUGCCAAGGACCACGCGUCCAUCCGGAUGAACGUGGCCGAGGUGGACAAAGUCACCCUCAGGUUUAACCGCUAGUUUAAGACCUAUGCUAUCUGCGGGGCCAUUCUCAGGAUGGGUGAGUCAGAUGACUCCAUUCUCGGAUUGGUCAAGGCAGAUGGCAUCGUCUCAAAGAAUUUUUGACCGGAGAGAAUUGGAGCAGCAGAAUAUUUGUCAUAAAUAAAUAAUGAAAAGCCCUCCCCUCCCAAAAAAGA